UACGUAGGUGGCAAGCGUUGUUCGGAAUUAUUGGGCGUAAAGAGCUCGUAGGCGGUCUGUCGCGUCUGCUGUGAAAACUCGGGGCUUAACCCCGGGCCUGCAGUGGGUACGGGCAGACUAGAGUGCGGUAGGGGAGACUGGAAUUCCUGGUGUAGCGGUGAAAUGCGCAGAUAUCAGGAGGAACACCGGUGGCGAAGGCGGGUCUCUGGGCCGUAACUGACGCUGAGGAGCGAAAGCGUGGGGAGCGAACAGG
rnacentral:rRNA from 1 species